rnacentral:rRNA from 1 species
AUCCCCGUCUUUGGCCAGAGCAUAGUCCAACGUUUGCUUGGAAGUGAAGAGUCAGGUUGUUUGGUAUUGCAGCCUAAAGUUGGAGGUAAAUCUCUCCUAAAGCUAAAUAUUGACGAAAGACCGAUAGCGAACAAGUACCGUGAGGGAAAGAUGAAAAGCACUUUGAAAAGAGGGUCAAAAAGUACGUGAAAUUGCUGAAAGGGAACCGUAUGAAAUCAGCUUGUCUUUUUGGUAAUCAACCUGGACUUCGGUCUGGGUGCACUUGCCAGUGAGACAGCCUGCGACAAUUCGAUUUGGAGGAAAAAAUUAUUGGGAAUGUGGCCUCUGCCUUUGGUUGAGGUGUUAUAGCCCUUUAAAAAAUACUCUGGGUUGGAUUGAGGACUGCAGCGAGCUCCCUCGGGGGCAUGGGUUAUGGGCGCUUUGCUUCGGUAAAAGGGAAAUCUCUACUUCGGGUAGUGUCUUUUUUAUCGAGGUGAACUCGCCUAUAUUCCCUUUUUCUCGCUUAGGUCGUAGGCAUAAUGAUUUUAUAUGACCCGUCUUGAAACACGGACCAAGGAGUCCACCAUGAUUGCGAGUCUUUGGGUGUAGAAACCCAUGGGCGGAAGGAAACUGACCAAGAUAUGAAGGCCGCAAGGCUGGCAAUAUCCUCCAGCGAAGACGUUUUAUACUGAAUUGACUGAGAGAAAGCAAUUAUGAUGGGACCCGAAAGAUGGUGAACUAUACUUGAAUAGGGUGAAGCCAGAGGAAACUCUGGUGGAAGCUCGCAGCGAUUCUGACGUGCAAAUCGAUCGUCAAAUUUGAGUAUAGGGGCGAAAGACUAAUCGAACCAUCUGACUU